rnacentral:rRNA from 1 species
AGAGUUUGAUCCUGGCUCAGGACGAACGCUGGCGGCGCGCCUAACACAUGCAAGUCGAACGAGCGAGAGAGAGCUUGCUUUCUCGAGCGAGUGGCGAACGGGUGAGUAACGCGUGAGGAACCUGCCUCAAAGAGGGGGACAACAGUUGGAAACGACUGCUAAUACCGCAUAAGCCCACGACCCGGCAUCGGGUAGAGGGAAAAGGAGCAAUCCGCUUUGAGAUGGCCUCGCGUCCGAUUAGCUAGUUGGUGAGGUAACGGCCCACCAAGGCAACGAUCGGUAGCCGGACUGAGAGGUUGAACGGCCACAUUGGGACUGAGACACGGCCCAGACUCCUACGGGAGGCAGCAGUGGGGAAUAUUGCACAAUGGGGGAAACCCUGAUGCAGCGACGCCGCGUGGAGGAAGAAGGUCUUCGGAUUGUAAACUCCUGUUGUUGAGGAAGAUAAUGACGGUACUCAACAAGGAAGUGACGGCUAACUACGUGCCAGCAGCCGCGGUAAAACGUAGGUCACAAGCGUUGUCCGGAAUUACUGGGUGUAAAGGGAGCGCAGGCGGGAAGACAAGUUGGAAGUGAAAUCCAUGGGCUCAACCCAUGAACUGCUUUCAAAACUGUUUUUCUUGAGUAGUGCAGAGGUAGGCGGAAUUCCCGGUGUAGCGGUGGAAUGCGUAGAUAUCGGGAGGAACACCAGUGGCGAAGGCGGCCUACUGGGCACCAACUGACGCUGAGGCUCGAAAGUGUGGGUAGCAAACAGGAUUAGAUACCCUGGUAGUCCACACCGUAAACGAUGAUUACUAGGUGUUGGAGGAUUGACCCCUUCAGUGCCGCAGUUAACACAAUAAGUAAUCCACCUGGGGAGUACGACCGCAAGGUUGAAACUCAAAGGAAUUGACGGGGGCCCGCACAA